AUUGAACGCUGGCGGCAGGCCUAACACAUGCAAGUCGAGCGGAUGCAGAGUACUUGCUCCUUGUUUCAGCGGCGGACGGGCGAGUGAUGCCUAAGAACAUGCCUGGCAGUUUUGGAUAGGGUGAGGACGUAGGCGCUAAUACCGCAUACGUCCAGAGGGCGUAAGUGUGGAAUCAUCGGACCUUCCGCCAUUGGAUGAGCCUAGGUCGGAUUAGCUAGUUGGUGGGGUAAAGGCCUACCAAGGCGACGAUCCGUAACUGGUCUGAGAGGAUGAUCAGUCACACUGGAACUGAGACACGGUCCAGACUCCUACGGGAGGCAGCAGUGGGGAAUAUUGGACAAUGGGCGCAAGCCUGAUCCAGCCAUGCCGCGUGUGUGAAGAAGGUCUUCGGAUUGUAAAGCACUUUUAGUUGGGAGGAAGAGCAGUAAGUUAAUACCUUGCUGUUUUGACGGUACCAACAGAAUAAGCACCGGCUAACUUCGUG
rnacentral:rRNA from 1 species